AGUUGAUAUGAGCUGUUAGUUAUGGUGGUGCCAUUACCAAUGACCUGGAAUUUCCAUGACUUAAAGCAAGACUCGAGCAACACGUUUAGCUCUCUUCAAGCCCUCAUUUCCUGCAGCUGGGUGUCUAAACACCUUGUCUGAUCUUUAGGUAACGAUGGCUUUGAGCUCCCCAGCCUCGCUCUGUAAUCACUACAGGAUGCCUGAUCUUCCAAGACCACAUCUGUUGGUGUUCAUUAGAGACAUCUGUGCAUACAGAACUUGAGCCACCACACUCGGCUCUUUGAGAAAGUGUGAGCCACAGAACACAACUCCUCCCUGGCUCUGGAAGUGCAUUUCCUGUAUUUGAAUGCAGAGGGGAGCACAGAGGAACUCAUCCUUGACCCUGUAAACAAAGCUCGCAUUGAAGCAUCUGAGCAAAGACAAGAGGUUGCUUUCAUAAAAUACUUAUCAUAGAUGGCCAUGGACCAAAAUAGUGACUACUUUGAUUGCUUACCCACACAUGCCAAUAUUUGAAAGUCACCUUUGUUCAGCUAUAUAAAACAAACAUUUUUCCAAGUGAAAAACACUCAGACAUGUUUUCACAGCUGUUUGCAUGCUUGUCCUUUAAAUACUGUGAACGGAUCCAAAUAAUAGUAUUCUGGUGUCAGAGGUUUUGUUUGUUAUUGUUGACAGGUCCUAUACAGUCUUCUCUGUAGCUGCUUAUGAAAUGUCAAACACUAUAACAUGACUCGACAUACACAUGACUGUUCAAAUCGGCUUUAUCCAUUGCGAUGGAGAAGGAGCCUGUACUGUGGGAGAAGACAGGAGAACCCAGAUGAAACUCUGCUUGUGAAAUCAUGUGCAACAUCGAACCUAUUGUGCCCAUUAACCAUAGAAAUUAUUUCCUGCAGUAUUGAGGAGGAAAAAAGGGGGCAUGGCCAUCCAUAUGUAAUGCUACAUGUGCAGGUUAUGUCAUUACAGCUCAUCACAAUUUGUCUGUAGCUGCAAUUGCUCACUUUAAUGUUUUGUCCGUUUAAAUAUGUAUGCAUAUGUCAAGAGAUUGGCAAUAAUAAUACUUAUUAAAUUCUUAAUUUGGCAGAAAAGUCCUGAUAAAUAUGACAUUUUAUUUUCUUCAUUUAAAACCCCAUUCUUGUUUUGGGUGUAAAUACAUCCAAGUCUCUAUCUGUUUGGUGAGCUAAAAUGCACCAAAGAAAGAUGGUUUGUUGCUCUGCUCUGAAGUCAGAAUAACAGCAAGAUAUUCUGUGCACAGUAUUCUAAAUAGACAAAAAGGUAACUAAUAUUAAGAUAUAUAAAAUAAUAUCUUAACGUCAAAGACACCAGAAUUAAGAGACUCAGGAUUAAGGUAUUAAAACUGCAUGUGGUACCACUGUGUUGCUGAUGAUCUCAAACAAACUUUUUAGAGUUAAAAAUUAUUUUCGGGCACCUUAUUGUUACAACAAUGUCACAGACAUGGAAUGCUCUCUCUCCCUUGUCAACCACAGCAAGUCAAGCCAAUCUCGGGUAUCUGUGAGCUUAUGUAUUUGAAAGAGGGCAGUGAUUUCCUCUGAGUGGGUUAUGCUGCCCUGGGAGGAAACAGGAGUUCACCUGUGGGUAGGAUUUGGCAGGGGAGAAAAAUAAAAAAUAUAUUGGUGUGAAUUAAAAAAUUGUAUGUCUGUAGA